rnacentral:rRNA from 1 species
GAUGAACGCUGGCGGCGUGCCUAAUACAUGCAAGUCGAGCGAACAGACGAGGAGCUUGCUCCUCUGACGUUAGCGGCGGACGGGUGAGUAACACGUGGAUAACCUACCUAUAAGACUUGGAUAACUUCGGGAAACCGGAGCUAUUACCGGAUAAUAUAUUGAACCGCAUGGUUCAAUAGUGAAUGACGGUUUUUCUGUCACUUAUAGAUGCAUCCGCGCGGCAUUAGCUAGUUGGUAAGGUAACGGCUUACCAAGGCAACGAUGCGUAGCCGACCUGAGAGGGUGACCGGCCACACAGGAAGUGAGACACGGUACAGACACCGACGGGAGGCAGAAGUAGGGAAGCUUCCGCAAUGGGCGAAAGCCUGACGGAGCAACGCAGCGUGAGUGAUGAAGGUCUUCGGAUCGUAAAACGCUGUUAUGAGGGAAGAACAAAUGUGUAAGUAACUAAGCACGUCUUGACGGUACCUAAUCAGAAAGCCACGGCUAACUACGU